AUGUGCUUGCUGGUCAUUUGUGUAUCUUCUUUACAGAAAUGUCUAUUCAGGCCCUUUGCCAAAUUACCAUCUCUGUUGCAACCUGCCGGGCAGGUCACAUCACAGCCUCUGCUGCAAUGGGCCCCAAACCAUCAGGAAUUCAACAACAGCCAGCUUUCCUAUUGUUGGCUCGAGCUUUCAACUCAGCACUCAGCAGAGAAAGCCAAAUCUGCUUCCCAAACCCAUCAUAUGGCUCCAGGUUCCUGUGACUGCAUAGGAGUCUGUUGGAUUAUUCUGUUUAUCUUUCCCAGUGGCCAAGGUGAGGAAAGUGAGGCCCAAAGAGUUUGUAUCACUCAAGGUUUCAAUCUAAGAUAUUGA
rnacentral:lncRNA from 1 species